AGGCGCGUAACUCAGUUGGUUAGAGUGCUACCAUGACAUGGUAGAAGUCGACAGUUCGAAUCUGUCCGUGCCUACCA
rnacentral:tRNA from 1 species